rfam:Erinaceus europaeus cont1.579944, whole genome shotgun sequence.
UGACCCCCAUGGCGCCUACUGGCCUCGUGGUGUUCCAGGCCUAGUCGCCAUACUCCCGCCCACCGCCUUCCUUCUACUCCAGCAGCACAAUCUCUUCGGUAGUUCUAACGCGGCGCCCCCUA